UCCGUAGGCGGUUUAAUAAGUCAGUGGUGAAAGCCCAUCGCUCAACGGUGGAACGGCCAUUGAUACUGUUAGACUUGAAUUAUUAGGAAGUAACUAGAAUAUGUAGUGUAGCGGUGAAAUGCGUAGAUAUAUGGAAGAACACCAGUGGCGAAGGCGGCUGUCUGGUCUGUAACUGACGCUGAGGCUCGAAAGCAUGGGUAGCAAACA
rnacentral:rRNA from 1 species